CGCGCCUCCCCCGCGCCCAGCUCCUCCCGCCUCACCUCUCUCUUCCUCAAAACCCUAACCUGCGCCCGCCUCCCAGCCCCGCCGCCGCCGUCGCCUCCUCUCCUCUUCCUCCCGCCCGCGCCUCCCUGCCCCGCUCCCGUCCAGGGCCAGCCCCACACCGCCGUCAUCUCGCCUCCGCAUCCUCUUCCUUCCUCUCCUCCCCAUGGGACGACGGCGGCAAGGACGGCGCGCUGCGCCCGCCCCCUCCGCUCCACCAGAGCCCUCCCCGUCCCCGUCUGCGCCCUCGAGCUCGAGGACCCCCGGUCGCCCUCGGCCUCGGCGUCCUACCGGGUCCUGCUCGCCACCCUCGCCUGCGCCGCCCUCGGAGCGCUCGUCUCCGCCCCCUCCACUUCGUUUCCUCCGUGCUUCGAUCUGGUACCUCCACUCCUCUCCAUCUCCCCCCUCUCACCCACCCCCUCGCCAUGCGAGUGUGUGUGUGUUUGUGCAGCGCUCGGUUUGGUCGGUCGCUGGUUCCUCCGAACAGUUGGUCCAUUGAGCCCUGGGAGACCUUAGGGGUUAGGGACGGACCCAGUGAUGUGAGGGAUCGAGCAGCGGCAGUAGCGGCGCUCUUCAACUUUUCUGGUUAUACUAGAUACUAAUCUACAAUUCUAUAUAUGCCAUGCUAUUUGGCUACCCAUUUUCUUGAUCUACUUGAAUUAGUACUACAGAGAUGUCUGAUGUACGUGUGUGUGUGUGGUUUUGCUAUUAGGACAAUCAAGGAGGUUCUGUUAGGAGAAUUUCCUUUUGUUUCCAUGGUUAAUUAAUCUUGGGAGUAUUCAAAAGCAUGCCAUCAUUGCUAUUAGGAGGGUCAAGGAGGUUCUGACAGUCUUUUUUGUUUAGUGUAUGAUGGUCACAUUUGUAUUGACAUCAAUAUUCAGAUUUAAUAUGUUUAUUGGGAGACCAUACUUCUAUAACUAGAUCAUGAAUAUCUUUUGAUCUUCUAAGAAACAGUUCUCCUGGAUAUUCCAAUUUAUACCUGCUCAUACAUCUGUUAUAUUACAAAAUCAUGAAUAUCUUUUGAUCUUCUAAGAAAUAGUUGACCACGUCAGCCCACUCCACAUCGCAUUGAACUAUAUGCAGUUUACUUUUAUCAUAAACCAUGUGGCUUAAGUUAAGCUUGGCGGGUCACUGAUUACUUAGUAUGGCAGCUCUUGUCAAAAAAAUAGUAUGGCAGCUUAGUAUUUAGUGCUUACUGUAUUUGUCAGUCAAGUAUGCCGAAUACCCUGUUCUGAAAGCACACACAUGAUAUUUGAAGCUUUACAUACACUUGGAUGGUAACAUAACACCCAUGCUUUGAAUUUUAAAAUGCCAAAUUGGCAAUGCUCCUUAACUACCAUAUCUGCUCUGUAAUCUCUGACUUGAUCGAUGGAAAAGAUUUGUUUAUGGUUUCUGUAAUCUCUAUCGGCUAUUCCCAUAGCAAAAUACUUGGAAGGUUUAGUCUUAGGGAAUUCUUCAUAUUUAUUUCCCGUUUGAAAGAGAAUCCCUCUUCCCGCACCUCUAAGAUCUGACUAUGAUUCUUCAUGACUUCACUUUUUACACUAUCUAGCGAAGAAAUACCGAGUUGAUGGUUACUUUCUUCCACUGACUAUGAUCUGCCACAUUCAUCUAUAGGUAUAUCAGCGUCAAAUGACAAAAGAAUGCCUCCAGAAAGUUUGUUCAUCAGGCACAAGCGAACGACAAAAUUGGAAUUCUCUUUCAACAGAAGAUCUGCAUGAUCUUUUUACUCUUCAUGAACAAGUCAGUGCGAGAGAAAGUUGCAUGCUAUAUGAGUGUUAAACGCCAUCGAGCGAUCUGAACAGAGCCGUGGCUCGAGUCGUUUUCGCUGUCCUGAUCCAUGGGUCAGGAUUGAUGCUUUCCGGUAACUCCGACAGCAGCCGAGUAAACUCCGACAUUAGCCGAGUAAACGCAAGCAUGGGUCGCUGGGAGCAGCUGUCUCCUACCUCUCGAGCCUGGAUCCAUCUUUUAUCGAGAGCGGCAGCCUCGGCGAGCCACCGUCUGUGAGAAGGGACCUGCGGAUACCCGUGAAGACGGGGUUCCUGCUGCAGCCGAUUAACAGACGCACCAUGAGGGAAGCAGUGUGGACGGCCAAAUCUGUGCGGCAGAAGUGGGGGCAGAGCCAGCGAUUGGGGAUUCCGCUCAGUCAUCUGAUUAAUCCAUAGAACAGAUCGAUCCCAAAUUGCCUGGAUAGACUAGAAGGUAUUCAUGUGGUAUAACUAUCACGUGCCUGAUCAUAUUCCUGUGGUACCCUGCAACUCAUGUGCUUGUGUUGAACAUUACAUGUGCUUAAGAUUUAUUAAACCAUGGAAUAGAUAUGGAAAAUUAGCAUAGAACUAUAGAUACUGUUUAGGCCUUGUGUACUUAUGUUCAGAUUGAAAAAUUCAUGUAUCAUGUCCUUCUGUAAGAAACUUUCUAAUCCAAAUGAUUGGAGUGCUAUCGUUUGGCCAUACAAAAGCAUAGAGGAAUUGUAAGUAAUGUGGUCGAUGCUCGAUAGUAUCAGGUUCGUGUGAGGCAGUCCCUAUGAAGUACAUCGACAAGACAGAUGAAUUGUGGCACUUAUUAGUAUGCUUCCUGAUUAUGGCUCCGUAGUUGGCUCUUUUGUAUUAUGUUCCGUUCUUAUUACCUCCUCGUAUGUGUUCUUACUUUUGGUAUCGAACUUCGUGUCGAAUGGUUAUCUUUUGCGGUCGUAUGAACGCACCGAGCUUGAUCCUGCCUUAUAAACUUAUGUUGAUCUUAAGCUCUAUCACAAUUAAAUGUUUCUUUACUUUAUUAUCCUCUAUAAGUGCAAAUGUUAUACCUGGUUUCUACUAAUAUAGUGUUAUAUGCUUCGGCAAAAUGCUGGGACCAGCAGCCUCGCGCGAAGGCGCGAUUCCGAUCUAGUGGAAAGAGAUAGGAGGAAGCGACGGACGCAGGAUAGCGAGGGGAGCGUAACGGGUCGGAUUGAAAAAUUCAGCGGGCCCGAUAAGAAAAGUCAGCGCCCAAAAGAGGACAGGAAAAAAAGAAA